rnacentral:rRNA from 1 species
UAGGGAAUCUUCCACAAUGGGCGAAAGCCUGAUGGAGCAACGCCGCGUGUGUGAUGAAGGGUUUCGGCUCGUAAAACACUGUUGUAAGAGAAGAAUGACAUUGAGAGUAACUGUUCAAUGUGUGACGGUAUCUUGCCAGAAAGGAACGGCUAAAUACGUGCCGA